rnacentral:misc_RNA from 1 species
AAAAAAUGUCCAAAAAUGGCAUGUUUGAUUCUUAUUUGCAAGAUGAUUUAACUCAGAGGAGCAUAUAUCAUGUACAAUAAAAGAACAUCCAAGUUGAUCAGCCACCAUUCAGCAUCAGGAGCUAGGGAAUCAGUGGACGUCAAAAGGUAUGAAGAAGAAGACAUCUCUAGUUGGAUUUGUUAACGUUUCACACUAAUGCAUAUGCGUGAAAAAUAUUGUCAUCUUUACACAACAUAAAGUUGGAUAACUACUAGUAGUAUUACAAUAGGAAUGUCGAUAUGCUAGAUAAAAACAUGGUACUUCCCACUAUACCAAAUACAAAAUGAAGUGACAAAUGCAGAACGCUUCUUUCAGACAUUCUUGGGGCAAUAAGACUUGCCAAACAAUGCAAGUCAUAAUCCUCCAGUCAGUCUCCCUAGACUAAAUCAACCAACCUAUGCUUCUAAGUCUCCUUCUAAGUAUUUCAGGUUUAUCCUAAAUAAUCAAUAUCAUAAAAGUAAAUAUCUGUACAUUACUCUUGUCCUGGAGAGUAUGCCUUGACUAAUGAGUAAAUACCACUCUUCCUGGUCUAGUCAUUACUCUGGUUUAUCCUCUUGGCCCAAGCACAAUGGACAAGGGGG